UUUUUACUAAAUUUUAUUUUACAUAGUCUACAAAAGCCAAAGUAAAAAAAAAGUUUUGAGAUUUCUGAAACAAUGUUAAGAAAGCAACACUGUCUAUCUACAUUUUCAGGUCCAAAGUUUUCACCAUACUACAGAUACAUGUCUACACAAAUAGAAUUGGGAAAGAAAUAGUCCCCAAUGCUUUAUAAUGCUUUAAGUACAACACCAGGUUAGACAACAAGGAGUUUUGAUUCAAUUGAAUACCAGUACUGACAUAAUGAGACCACACAGAGUCCAUCUCAACAAGCAUAUGUCUUACCAACUUCAUGAAGUGCUUCAGGUUUCCUGUUAAGUUCAAUUUAUGAUGAUGUCAAUGGGUUGCAAAAGAAACAAUUUGAACAUAGCUUUAAUAAAAUGUAACAAAUUUAUUUAGUGAAAGAUAAAUGAAGGCUUUAAAAAAUGAGUUGUUUGUUUUUUUUAUCAAUGAUUGGGAAAAAAAAAGUCACAAAAAACUUGCAAGGGCUAGGAGUAUUUUCAAUUUUUAAAUCAGACAAUCAAAAUGUAUUUCCAGAUAGAAAUCAAAGAGAGGAACACAGGAAAAAAUAAAAAGUGAAAGAAUUUAUUUUUUUUUUUUUUUUUCUUUUG